rnacentral:rRNA from 1 species
GACGAACGCUGGCGGCGUGCUUAACACAUGCAAGUCGAACGGAAAGGCCCUGCUUUUGUGGGGUGCUCGAGUGGCGAACGGGUGAGUAACACGUGAGUAACCUGCCCUUGACUUUGGGAUAACUUCAGGAAACUGGGGCUAAUACCGGAUAGGAGCUCCUGCUGCAUGGUGGGGUUUGAAAGUUUCGGCGGUUGGGGAUGGACUCGCGGCUUAUCAGCUUGUUGGUGGGGUAGUGGCUUACCAAGGCUUUGACGGGUAGCCGGCCUGAGAGGGUGACCGGCCACAUUGGGACUGAGAUACGGCCCAGACUCCUACGGGAGGCAGCAGUGGGGAAUAUUGCACAAUGGGCGGAAGCCUGAUGCAGCAACGCCGCGUGCGGGAUGACGGCCUUCGGGUUGUAAACCGCUUUCGCCUGUGACGAAGCGUGAGUGACGGUAAUGGGUAAAGAAGCACCGGCUAACUACGUG